rnacentral:rRNA from 1 species
CGUAGGGUGCGAGCGUUAAUCGGAAUUACUGGGCGUAAAGCGUGCGCAGGCGGUUUUGUAAGACAGAUGUGAAAUCCCCGGGCUCAACCUGGGACCUGCAUUUGUGACUGCAAGGCUAGAGUACGGUAGAGGGGGAUGGAAUUCCGCGUGUAGCAGUGAAAUGCGUAGAUAUGCGGAGGAACACCGAUGGCGAAGGCAAUCCCCUGGACCUGUACUGACGCUCAUGCACGAAAGCGUGGGGAGCAAACAGGAUUAGAUACCCUGGUAGUCCACGCCCUAAACGAUGUCAACUGGUUGUUGGGUCUUUACUGACUCAGUAACGAAGCUAACGCGUGAAGUUGACCGCCUGGGGAGUACGGCCGCAGGGUUG